UCUCAACUGUGAGAAUGAUUCAAUCUUUUUAAGCCAAUACAGAAUCUUUUCUCUCUCCUUCAGGAAAGAUUGCAAAUAUUCUUGGAGGAAAAGGUGAUGACACUCCAGAACUGGCUGGCUUUCCUCUUCACAGUGGAUCUGUGAUGGUUCCCAAGGAAAAUGCCUACAGGGAAUCUCCCUGGCUUCAUCUUUUGGCAGCCAAUGCCGAACCAAACUCAGAUCUUCAGAGAAGAUUUCAUUUACGGUGGCUCUCACAUUAGGGCAUCAGCCUUAACUUUGGAAUAAAGAUGUUCAUUGAUCCUGGUUUACUGGACUUUAAUCCAGUACUACUGAAUUGAAGCACACUGUGAACUACAAACAUAUUUUCAUUCACCAUGGCAGAUGCUCUUUGAAACUUGCAUUGUGAGGACAGAAGUUCAAUUAAUGUGUUUCCCAUUUAUUCUGCUGACAGAUAGAGGCCAAAUGACAAAAUAGAAAGAUCUUCGACUAAGUGUCAAGAAAAAAACUAGUGUUCUAGAGUCGUCUUUGCCACUUAAAAUAGCCUUGUGACUAUAAGUGUGCCAUCCAACAUCUUGGAGGUUCAGAAAUGGAAUGGAAAUAUAUUUUGUAAGUGGCAUAGCAUAAUGAAAGAAAUAACCCCCAACACAUAAAUGUUUGUAGAAUCCUGGCUUUGUCACUCCUACUUAGGUGACCACUAAACCAUCUGUUUCCAUUUUCUCUUUCACUUAUUUAAUAUACAUUUAGUGGUUAGCAUAAACAGACACUAUUUGAGAAUUAAAAAAUGAAAUAAGCGGUUGUUAUCUAGAGAAAUGCAGCAUUUAAUGUGAAAAGCAGGCAUCCAAACCUUGCAUGAUACGGUUAAUGGAAGUCUUUCUCAAAUUUUUAUGUGUAUAAGAACCAUUGUGGUUCACUGCGUCUGGAGUGGGACCUGGGAUUCUUCAUUUUACACAAGCUGCCAGGCUAUGGAUACUGCUGAUCAAUGAAUCACAGUUUGAGAAGUGAGUGUAAUAAAAUAUAAACAGAGAUAUGCUACCACAUCACAGAAAAAAAAGAAACUAACUCAACUAUGUAAGAUCCAAAGAGGAAUUGAGAUGGAGUUGAAGGAUGAGUAACAGAAGGUGCAAAGCAAGAUAAUUAAAUGUCUUUGAGUAGAGGCACUAUUUUAUAUGGAACACAGCGGUGUGAAUUGCCAUGGUGUGGGUGUAGAAAAAUGAUACCACACUGGGGAGUCAUGUGUAGGGAGACCAGUUUUCAGGAAGAGCAACAGUUCACUUGGGAGGUAAUGAAGGCCUGAAUUACUUUAGUGUAUUCUUGUAACUAUUCAUAGCUGAGUUUUCUAAAAGUUAUAGUGGAGAGGGCUUAAUGAAGGGGGAAAUGAAGGGAGGA